CAAGGUCACCGUGGAUCGUGGCCUGAUGAAGCAAGAUCAUUCCGAUCCGCUGCAUCGAUGCACCUCGCUUCCCCCUUGCUUGUCAGCCGCCCAACAGGCGUAUCCAACAACAAGAGAGAGUCAAAGGGAGUUAGUGAGAUGGCUGAUCGCGAGAACGGUACCGUGAAGUGGUUCAAUGAUGCCAAGGGCUUCGGCUUCAUCAGCCGGCAGAAUGGCGAGGACGUGUUCGUGCACUUCCGUGCCAUCGAGACCCAGGGCUUCAAGAGCCUCAAGGAAGGCCAGGCUGUGAGCUUUGAAGUGGUGCAGGGCCAGAAGGGCCUGCAGGCUGACAAGGUCCAGCCGGCGUAAUACCUGCCGCUUGCCGGCAUGAAAAAGGCCCGCGCAAGCGGGCCUUUUUUU
rfam:Bacterium AM6 strain AM6 2017-02-03-Sterotrophomonas_trimmed_contig_192, whole genome shotgun sequence.